AGGUUAUGAUGAAGGCAUUUUCUUAGCAAGUCUUCAAAUUGCUCCCACACCUCAUAUAGCGAUUUAGUAUCCAAUUGUGCAUAAGUUGUAAUCUCCUGACGCAACUU